GGCGCAAACUUGAAGUAGGGUACAUUAGUAUGGUCAGAUGAUCGUACUGGUCGACUCUACUUUAAAUUUGGGCUC
rnacentral:pre_miRNA from 1 species